UACGGAGGAUCCAAGCGUUAUCCGGAGUCAUUGGGUUUAAAGGGUCCGUAGGCGGUUUAAUAAGUCAGUGGUGAAAUCUGGUCGCUCAACGAUCAAACGGCCAUUGAUACUGUUAGACUUGAAUUACUGGGAAGUAACUAGAAUAUGUAGUGUAGCGGUGAAAUGCUUAGAUAUUACAUGGAAUACCAAUUGCGAAGGCAGGUUACUACCAGUGGAUUGACGCUGAUGGACGAAAGCGUGGGGAGCAAACAGG
rnacentral:rRNA from 1 species